rnacentral:rRNA from 1 species
GAUGAACGCUAGCUACAGGCUUAACACAUGCAAGUCGAGGGGCAGCAUGAACUUAGCUUGCUAAGUUUGAUGGCGACCGGCGCACGGGUGAGUAACACGUAUCCAACCUGCCGAUGACUCGGGGAUAGCCUUUCGAAAGAAAGAUUAAUACCCGAUGGCAUAGUUCUUCCGCAUGGUAGAACUAUUAAAGAAUUUCGGUCAUCGAUGGGGAUGCGUUCCAUUAGGUUGUUGGCGGGGUAACGGCCCACCAAGCCUUCGAUGGAUAGGGGUUCUGAGAGGAAGGGCCCCCACAAUGGGACUGGGGCACGGGCCAAACUCCUACGGGAGGCAGCAGUGAGGAAUAUUGGUCAAUGGACGAGAGUCUGAACCAGCCAAGUAGCGUGAAGGAUGACUGCCCUAUGGGUUGUAAACUUCUUUUAUACGGGAAUAAAGUGAGGCACGUGUGCCUUUUUGUAUGUACCGUAUGAAUAAGGAUCGGCUAACUCCGUG